UGCGUAGGUGGUUUCUUAAGUCAGAGGUGAAAGGCUACGGCUCAACCGUAGUAAGCCUUUGAAACUGGGAAACUUGAGUGCAGGAGAGGAGAGUGGAAUUCCUAGUGUAGCGGUGAAAUGCGUAGAUAUUAGGAGGAACACCAGUUGCGAAGGCGGCUCUCUGGACGACAACUGACGCUGAGGCGCGAAAGUGUGGGGAGCAAACA
rnacentral:rRNA from 1 species